AACGGGGGGAGCUAGUGUUAUUCAACGUAAUUGGGCGUAAAAGGUUCGUAGACGGUAUAUUAACUAUUAUAUGGAUCCAUAGAUUAAUAAUGGUAAAUAUUUUAAAGUGGUAUUCUAGAGUCGAGCAGAGGGUAAUAGAAUUUUCAGGGUAGGGGUAAAAUUCAUUGAUACUGAAAAGACUAUCGAAGGCAAAGGCAAUUAUCCAUGUUGUGUACUGACGUUGAGGAACGGAGGCGUGGGAGCGAAUGGG
rnacentral:rRNA from 1 species